GCUUACGGCCAUACCUCUCUGGCUCCGCCUGAUCUCGUCUGAUCUCAGAAGCUAAGCAGAGUAAGGCCUGGUUAGUACUUGGAUGGAAGACCGCCUGGGAA
ensembl:rRNA 5S_rRNA 5S ribosomal RNA